UAACGGGCUUUUGAGCUGCUUGCUUGAGCCCGCUGUCCUCUGUUGGAGUAAAUCUCUGCUUUCGCUGCCUUGCUUUGUGUGUUUUGUCCAAUUCUCUGUUCAAAACGCCAAGAACCUGGCCAACUACCCUCAACUGGUAACGUAUUUUGGUGAGCCGGCCGGGAGAAGCUUGCGCUCUUCCCUAAGGCUGAUAUGUGUUCAAUGAAGAAGGAAGAGAGGAACGUGGAGAAGGAAGAGAAAGAAAAGAAGAUACAGGAGGAGAUGUUGUAGCCUUUUCACACAAUUUGUGAAAUCCAGUGUCCCCUUAAUGGCCAAGUCCUUCAACCUGUGGAAAGAAUGGAGUGCAAGAAGACCAGGGAAGGAUCCCACCUUGUGCCCUGGGAAGCAAGUGCCCAGCCUCUACCUGGCACUCACCCUUUUGCUAGGGAGACAUUAAAGUCUAAAUCCUUAUCCUCGAGGAAUUGCUCGUCCCUAGAAGGUCCGGUUGCCUGUUCCCUGCUAUAGGCAGGAUUAACCCAUCUUUCCAGGAGCCCCACCUCGAGGAAGAACACACAGUAGCCUCCCCCCACCCGCUUCUUCCUCCAGCCUGCCAGGGGCUGUGCCCCUUCUCCACCGAGCUCACCAGUGCCCUCAGCCAGGCAGAGAAUCCCGUGGCCCUGCACCCAGCGGUAGCAGGGGAAAAAGCCCUCGCCUUGGGUCCCCGGGCCCUGCACUGAGAUCCACUUGCAGAACCAGUCGAGACUCAGCAGCGCGUUGUGCUUGCGCAGCUUCACCAUCAGGAGGCGCCCCAGGUGCAGGGGGACGUCGAUCUCAAACUGCCCCCUGCGCAACAGCGCACCAAGUGCACCCGACCUCAGCCCCUACCCUGCUUCCCGGGUUUCUCACGGCUGGAGCUCCAGCAGCCUCCGACUGGCCCCGGCCCCCAGUCCCCAGUGACACCUCAGAGUCCCAGGACCCCAGCUCUCACCGCAGUCCGCGCUCACCUUUCCCCACACCGGUCGCAGCUGCCUCCCCCUGCUCGCCCACCAGCCACAGCUGCACCAGGUUGGGAGAGCCGGUCAGGAGCGAAUCCCCGGUGGCUACGCGGACCGUGUACUUGCCCAUCUUGCCGGGACCUCUAGGGGGAUCCGGGGAGAAAUCAGCUUUAAAAGGAUCUCAGACCCAGCCCCAGGGAACCACGCCCAGUCCAGAGUGGCUGUUGUAUUUGGGUCUCAGGUUCCCCACCUCCCACCCACAGAUUCCUCCCCGACUAGGAGGAACGCUGAGACUGGCGUCAGGCUAGGGUAUCUGUAUCCAGAGUUUCUCCCGGCGGCUCCGGAAAGGGCAGCCCCACCCUUAUUCACUUGGCAAACACUCCCUGAUGCCAGUUUCACACCCUGCCAUGAGCCAAACACAGCAGCCUACGGACGAUGACAGCUAAACACUAGCUCCCACCCAAUUUUGGUGAAUACAUAAAUAAGAUUGCCACAGCACUGGAGAUAACAGAAGUGAAAUGGCUUGAUCACAGGGGUAUUUUUCAAUGGAAAGUUGACACUCCCCAGACACUCGUGCUCACCCACGGCUCGCCUCUCUCCUGGACCUCCUGAGCUAUCGUGAACAGAAGGGCUCGAACAGCCCUUCCAUCUCCUCAUGUUGAAAGAGUCAAAAGAGUUGGCUAAAGUGAAAAAGUAUACAGAUGUACCUUCACAUUUUGUUUUAAACUGAAAUCAUAACUGUUGAGCCAUUCAUGAAUUUUUAAUAAAAGGCUAACAUGUUUUCAUUGAA